AAAAUGACUUAGGUUUAUUUCCUUGUUAAUAUAGCUGAAUGAUUGCUUUAUGAGUUAAAACUGUAUACAUAUAUUGAUCCAUUAGUUAAAAGGUAAUCCCUUAUCUAAUUAUUAAUUUCGUUUUAUUUUUGUAUUUUAACUAGUUAAGUUUAUCCCAAUUCUCUCUUGGGGUUAACUUUUGAUUUUGAGACAUUCUUUCUUGAUCAAUUUGAUUCCUUAAUAUGGUUUUAUAAUUUUUUAGCUUAUUCAUUCAGUUACAGUAGCAUGGAAUAGAGCUCUUAUUUAUGCAAUCAACCAGCUAUUAAAUGAGUCAGCCACGCUUUAUUUUAUUUUUUAGAUUUUUUUCUUAUUUUGUUAUUUCUUUCUUUUUCUUUCUUCUUUCCUGCGUUGGUUUUCUUUUUCGUUUUGCUUUCUUUCCUGCGUUUGUUUUCUGCUGUUUCUUGCGUUUGUUUUCUUCUCUGCUCAGCUUGGUUAGGUAAGUUUCGAACUUCUUUUUUGUUUUUCUUUGUUUCUUUUUUAUUUUAUUCCCUUUCUUUUUUUUCUACUGUUUUUUCCCCUUUCGUUUGUAUUUUCUUUGCUCAAUUUCAAAGAAGGGCAAGGGAGAGGAAGCGGGAUUUCACAGUAGAGGUAAGUCAUAAAUUUGCUUUUUGAAGUAUUUUUUUCAUUUUGCUUUGUUUCCUGUGUUUGUUUUCUGCUGUUUCCUGCGUUUGUUUUCUUCUUUGCUCAGCUUGGUUAAAUAUGUUUCGAACUUCUUCUUUGCUUUUCUUUGUUUCUUUUUUGUUUUAUUUUCUUUCUUUUUUUACUGUUUUUUCCCUUUUGUCUGUAUUUUCUUUGCUCAAUUUCGGAAAAGAGCAAGGGAGAGGAAGCGGGAUUUCAUAGCAGAGCAGUAGCAGUGAAAUUUCUUUUGUUGUAGAUCGAAAUUUUGAAAGCGAUCGUGUGGAACCCUUGAGCAAUCGCCUUUCGGAGAAAAUCGAGCUAUAAAGUGCUAAGCUGGUAUAUUACUUCUCUAUCAUUGGUGUUCCUUUUUUCAACAGAUAUCAGAGUUCUCAUUGUUUUGAAGCUUCCUUAGUUAUUUACCAGGUUAAGGCAACUGUAGAAAAUGUUGAUGGAGCUGUUCGAGAGCUUCCUGAUGCCAACUUGGUAAGAGACUAGAAGAUUUAUGGGCAAUCCACUCUCAGCCUAUCCAUCCACAGCCUCACAAAAGGGACAAUCAUUCUUUGGAUGGCAAUACAGAAGGUGAAAAAAUAGUUUCGGAACAUUUCAAGCCCAUAAGAACUUUGGGUUGUGGUGAUACUGGCAGUGAUCAUUUGGUGGAACUGAAAAGUACAGGCCAACUGUAUGCUAUGAAGGCAAUGAAAAAAUAUCUAUGAUGCAGAAACGUAAUAAGUGACUGAAGAUCGGUGCAUCGAGGACGGAGGUGGCAGAAAAGAAUAAAGAGAAUAGAGAGGAAAUUGAAGAGAUGAUAAACAUUGGUGCUUUAGAGAAAAGGCAUUGAGCUAUUCAGUAACAGGAUUGGGAACCUUUACUACCAAAGCAAUGAUUAUGGACCCGUAUCUAAAGGACAAAAAUGUAAGUUUGACUACUUUCUAUAUUUUGGAUAUAAUUUCUUUAU